GUGACUGCGUACCUUUUGUAUAAUGGGUCAGCGACUUAUAUUCUGUAGCAAGGUUAACCGUAUAGGGGAGCCGGAGGGAAACCGAGUCUUAAUUGGGCGUUAAGUUGCAGGGUAUAGACCCGAAACCCGGUGAUCUAGCCAUGGGCAGGUUGAAGGUUGGGUAACACUAACUGGAGGACCGAACCGACUAAUGUUGAAAAAUUAGCGGAUGACCUGUGGCUGGGGGUGAAAGGCCAAUCAAACCGGGAGAUAGCUGGUUCUCCCCGAAAGCUAUUUAGGUAGCGCCUCGUGAAUUCAUCUCCGGGGGUAGAGCACUGUUUCGGCUAGGGGGCCAUCCCGGCUUACCAACCCGAUGCAAACUGCGAAUACCGGAGAAUGUUAUCACGGGAGACACACGGCGGGUGCUAACGUCCGUCGUGAAGAGGGAAACAACCCAGACCGCCAGCUAAGGUCCCAAAGUCAUGGUUAAGUGGGAAACGAUGUGGGAAGGCCCAGACAGCCAGGAUGUUGGCUUAGAAGCAGCCAUCAUUUAAAGAAAGCGUAAUAGCUCACUGGUCGAGUCGGCCUGCGCGGAAGAUGUAACGGGGCUAAACCAUGCACCGAAGCUGCGGCAGCGACGCUGAUGCGUUGUUGGGUAGGGGAGCGUUCUGUAAGCCUGCGAAGGUGGCCUGUGAGGGUUGCUGGAGGUAUCAGAAGUGCGAAUGCUGACAUAAGUAACGAUAAAGCGGGUGAAAAGCCCGCUCGCCGGAAGACCAAGGGUUCCUGUCCAACGUUAAUCGGGGCAGGGUGAGUCGACCCCUAAGGCGAGGCCGAAAGGCGUAGUCGAUGGGAAACGGGUUAAUAUUCCCGUACUUGGUGUUACUGCGAAGGGGGGACGGAGAAGGCUAUGUUGGCCGGGCGACGGUUGUCCCGGUUUAAGCGUGUAGGUGUGUGUUCCAGGUAAAUCCGGUUCACUUUAACACUGAGGCGUGAUGACGAGGCACUACGGUGCUGAAGCAACAAAUGCCCUGCUUCCAGGAAAAGCCUCUAAGCAUCAGGUAACAUCAAAUCGUACCCCAAACCGACACAGGUGGUCAGGUAGAGAAUACCAAGGCGCUUGAGAGAACUCGGGUGAAGGAACUAGGCAAAAUGGUGCCGUAACUUCGGGAGAAGGCACGCUGACACGUAGGUGAAGUGAUUUACUCACGGAGCUGAAGUCAGUCGAAGAUACCAGCUGGCUGCAACUGUUUAUUAAAAACACAGCACUGUGCAAACACGAAAGUGGACGUAUACGGUGUGACGCCUGCCCGGUGCCGGAAGGUUAAUUGAUGGGGUCAGCGCAAGCGAAGCUCCUGAUCGAAGCCCCGGUAAACGGCGGCCGUAACUAUAACGGUCCUAAGGUAGCGAAAUUCCUUGUCGGGUAAGUUCCGACCUGCACGAAUGGCGUAAUGAUGGCCAGGCUGUCUCCACCCGAGACUCAGUGAAAUUGAACUCGCUGUGAAGAUGCAGUGUACCCGCGGCAAGACGGAAAGACCCCGUGAACCUUUACUAUAGCUUGACACUGAACAUUGAGCCUUGAUGUGUAGGAUAGGUGGGAGGCUUUGAAGUGUGGACGCCAGUCUGCAUGGAGCCGACCUUGAAAUACCACCCUUUAAUGUUUGAUGUUCUAACGUGGACCCGUAAUCCGGGUUGCGGACAGUGUCUGGUGGGUAGUUUGACUGGGGCGGUCUCCUCCUAAAGAGUAACGGAGGAGCACGAAGGUUGGCUAAUCCUGGUCGGACAUCAGGAGGUUAGUGCAAUGGCAUAAGCCAGCUUGACUGCGAGCGUGACGGCGCGAGCAGGUGCGAAAGCAGGUCAUAGUGAUCCGGUGGUUCUGAAUGGAAGGGCCAUCGCUCAACGGAUAAAAGGUACUCCGGGGAUAACAGGCUGAUACCGCCCAAGAGUUCAUAUCGACGGCGGUGUUUGGCACCUCGAUGUCGGCUCAUCACAUCCUGGGGCUGAAGUAGGUCCCAAGGGUAUGGCUGUUCGCCAUUUAAAGUGGUACGCGAGCUGGGUUUAGAACGUCGUGAGACAGUUCGGUCCCUAUCUGCCGUGGGCGCUGGAGAACUGAGGGGGGCUGCUCCUAGUACGAGAGGACCGGAGUGGACGCAUCACUGGUGUUCGGGUUGUCAUGCCAAUGGCACUGCCCGGUAGCUAAAUGCGGAAGAGAUAAGUGCUGAAAGCAUCUAAGCACGAAACUUGCCCCGAGAUGAGUUCUCCCUGAGACUU
rnacentral:rRNA from 1 species